rnacentral:miRNA from 1 species
AUAGAUGACUUGCCUGCGGAUCCACAGUUCACAGUGCUUGUAAAUCAUUUACAAGCACUGUGAACUGUGGAUCCGCAGGCAAGUCAUCUAU